rnacentral:rRNA from 1 species
AUUGAACGCUGGCGGCAGGCCUAACACAUGCAAGUCGAGCGGGGUUUUCGGACCUAGCGGCGGACGGGUGAGUAAUGCGUAGGAAGCUACCCGAUAGAGGGGGAUACCAGUUGGAAACGACUGUUAAUACCGCAUAAUGUCUACGGACCAAAGUGUGGGACCUUCGGGCCACAUGCUAUCGGAUGCGCCUACGUGGGAUUAGCUAGUUGGUGAGGUAAUGGCUCACCGAGGCGACGAUCUCUAGCUGGUUUGAGAGGAUGAUCAGCCACACUGGAACUGAGACACGGUCCAGACUCCUACGGGAGGCAGCAGUGGGGGAAUAUUGGACAAUGGGCGGCAAGCCUGAUCCAGCCAUGCCGCGUGUGUGAAGAAGGCCUCGGUGUAAGACACUUCUAGUCGAGGAGGAAGAGUGUGU